AAUGACGUGCCUGAAAAAAAGGGCUAUUUUGAUAGAAUAGAUUAUACAAAAAUUUUGUCUUCAUUA
rnacentral:tRNA from 1 species